rnacentral:lncRNA from 1 species
UUCAUAUUCAAUCGACGUGGCCACCAUCUCAAUGGCUUCGAUCGCCCGCUGAACAACGGAAGUGUUUGUGUCACAACUCACAACAGGCCUAAGGGAACGAUGGGCGGCCCAUUCCGUUCGAUCUUGCUGGCGCUCGCGACAACAAAAGCCCGGAUCUCUUCCUCCGACGCGAUGGCGUUCCCGCGCCUCCGCUCUCCGACGGCGCCGAUCCUCGUCGGCACCGGUGGCGGCGACUUCUCCGGGGCGCGCCGCCUCAGCCGCCUGGAGAUCUCCCGAAGGUAGCUCCCCACCCCGCGGCCCUUGGCCUCCUCCUCUUGCGUCCCCGGCGAGCACGCGCGAGCAUGACUGGACUUGGAGCCCCGUGCCAGCUUGCUGCCGAAACAGGGGUGCUGAUGGGAGGUCCUGAACCCGACCGAGAUGGAGGAAAUCGAGGAGGCUGGGCUGGAGGAGCCCGACGCGUCGCCGCCCUUGGGCGCCGCCGUAGUACCCGAUGACGCAGCAGCCUUCUUCUUGUGCUUGCUCCUGCCGCGCGCGCCGAAGCACCGGGGCGAGACUGAGCGGCUGCGUCGCAGAGCCUCGAACCCGACCCGGUCGUCGAGCGAGGACACGGACGAUGCCGAGGGGGAAGAGGGGCUUGCCGAGGAGGAUGACUCCGCCGCCGCCUCGACGCCCGUCGUCGCGUCGAGCACCAUUACGGCACAGGGGAGCAGCUACGCGGCGCCGGCGGCGAGCUGGAACAACAUCGAUCUGCCUGCGUCGUAGGAGCCGGGGAGUCCAGAGGGCGAUCGAGCUGUAGCGCAGGUUGGUGUUAGCCAAAUGUGCGGCGCGGUACCAUUCUAUGUAUACUCGCCGGUGGCAGAUUGCAUGGGGACACGGCGCGCGGCCAUUACGGCUGCACGCGUGCGUCUUCCCCGAAAUGCCACCCGACAUUUGCAAGUAUGCGGAACUGGCGCCUCUACAUUCCAAAUCUAUGGUUGCAAUUUGUGUCAUGAAGGCCACGUGCAAGAACGAAGAACGAAAAAGAAAUAACAGCACAAGGACAUACAGAUUUACCGCAAGCAAGAACGAAGAACGAAAAAGAAAUAAAAGCACAAGUACAUACGGAUUUAACGUGAAAAACCCUCUCAAACAAUGAGAGAAAAAAACCACGGGCGCCAGCCAGCGAAAAUUCAUUAUAUGAGAGUGUUUACAGAACGCCGGGGAGAUUCUACAAAAGCAACUCGUCCCCAAAACGGCGGCCACAAGGGGUAUAUAUAACAGGAAGAUUAGGUCAAAACAGAUCCGUAUCGGGGACUCCGGAAGUUCCGGGCUUGUUCCGAGACAAACUCCACAGUCUUCACGCGAAGUUCCAGUAGCAUCACGGAGAUGAGGCGGAGGUUGGGCGGAAGUUCCGCCCCACCGGAAGUACACCGGAAGUUCCGGUCCUGGCAAACACCUCCUUGAGAAUUUAAAUCACAACUUCAACAAACUCCACCUUGAGACAAAUUCCUUCUUAUAGCAAAUUUCUCCUUGUAGCAUAAACAGUAACAACUUCUGAAACAACAAAGAAAACACUUUCGGCGUCAAUAGCCACUAGGGGCUAAACAGUUAUACCAACUAACCUUGAGCAUAGCUCAAACUUAGCAAUAGGAACAGGCUUUGUCAUCAUAUCAGCAGGAUUAUCAUGAGUGUUGAUCUUGCAUACUUUCAAUUUACCUAGAGCAACAAUGUCGCGAACAAAAUGGUACUUGACAUCAAUGUGCUUGGUUCUCUCAUGAAGCAUCUGAUCCUUAGUAAGGUAGAUAACACUUUGACUGUCACAAAACAGGUUAAUGCAAGAAACAUCUUGACAAAGCUCAGCAUAUAAACCCUUUAACCAAACAGAUUCUUUGCAAGCUUCAGUAAUAGCCAUAUAUUCUGCUUCGGUUGUAGAUUGAGCAAUAACUGGUUAUAGUGUUGCCUUCCAACUCACAGCACAUCCACCUACCGUGAACACAUAACCUGUGAGAGAUCUCCUCUCAUCCAAGUCGGCAGCAAAAUCUGAAUCCACAUAGCCAGCGAGUCCCUCAUCAGUCUUGCCAAACUUCAAGCAAGCAUUGGAUGUGCCACGGAGGUACCUGAAAAUCCACUGAACAGCUUUCCAAUGUUCUUUACCAGGAUUAGCCAUGUAACGACUGACCAAACUCAUAGCAUAUGAUAAAUCAGGACGUGAACAAACCAUGGCGUACAUCAAGGAACCAACAGCACUAGAAUAGGGAACUCGUGACAUAUACUCAAUAUCUUCAUCAGAAGUAGGACAUUGCAACGCUAACAACUUGAAAUGAGAAGCAAUAGGAGUACUAACACACUUUGCAUCAUGCAAAUUAAAACGGUGAAGUACUUUCUCAAUGUAACUUUGCUGACUAAAAAAUAGCAACUUAGAUUUUCUGUCCCUUUUAGUUUUCAUACCUAGGAUUUUAUUAGCAGCACCAAGAUCCUUCAUCUCAAAUUCACUACUUAGUUGUGCUUUCAAAGUAGUGAUUACUUUCAUGCUCUUGGAAGCAAUUAACAUAUCAUCAACAUAUAACAGCAAGUAUACAGGUGAUCCAUCAACAAAUUUAAUCACAAUUGUCAUACUGAGAUCUACUAAAGCCACGUGAGAUCAUAAAUGAAUCAAACCUUUUAUACCACUGUCUAGAAGAUUGCUUCAAACCAUAAAAGGACUUUUUCAACUUGCACACAAACUCUUCUUUACCAGGAACUAUGAACCCUUCAGGUUGGUCCAUGUAUAUUUCCUCCUCAAGCUCUCCAUGCAAAAAUGCAGUCUUCACAUCUAACUGCUCAAGUUCAAGAUCAUGCAUAGCAACAAUACCAAAGAAAGUAAGGAUGGAACUAUGCUUUACCACUGAAGAGAACACAUCAUUGUAAUCAAUACCUGGUAUUUGAGUGAAACCUUUUGCCACUAACCUUGCGUUAAACCUCAUAGGCUCAUUAGGAGACAGACCCUCCUUUCUCUUGAAAAUCCAUUUGCAGCGAACGGCCUUCUUCUAUUUAGGCAAGGGCACAACAUCACAUGUGCCAUUCUUCUCAACAGAUUGCAUCUCCUCUUGCAUGGCAGACAACCACUUCACACGGUCGCCGGAAACAACAGCUUCACUAUAUGUGGCCGGUUCACUAUCAUGCUCCACCUGUUCUGCACAACUCAAAGCAUAAUAAACUAGAUCACACUCUUCAAUUAAAUGUGGACGAGUACCUUUAUUCCUCUUUGGGCGGUCAGCUGUAAUAGACCGUGUGGGUUGCUGCAAAACAGAUGGUGAGGGUGGAACAAUAUCAUCAUUAUUAUCAUUAUUGUUCCCAUCAUCAUUACCAUGAUCAACCUGAGCAUCAUUGUUGUCAGCAAUUUCAUCAACGUGCUCCACCUGCACUUUAAGUCUCUCCUCUUCAAUGCAAGAGGCAUCAGUGGACAAAGUAUCAUGAUACAUAACUUUUUCAUUAAAGACAACAUUCUUGCUCAGCAAAAUUUUUUUAGUUUCAGGAUUCCACAACCUGAAAGCUUUAACUCCAGAACCAUAGCUAAGAAAAAUGCACUUAACAGCUCUACGCUCUAGCUUUCCAUUAUCAACGUGAGCAUAAGCGGUGCAACCGAAAACUCUCAACAGUGAAUAAUCAGCAGGUUUACCAGACUAUACCUCAAUGGGAGUUUUCUUGUCAAGUGGAAUAGAAGGUGACCUGUUUAUGAGGUAGCAUGCGGUGGAAGCUGCCUCAGCCCAAAAACGCCUGCCCAAACCUGCAUUGGACAACAUGCAACGGGCCCUAGAUAUGAUGGUUCUAUUCAUGCGUUCAGCCACGCCAUUUUGCUGUGGAGUACGGGCAACCGUGUAGUGCCUAAUCACACCAUCAUUGCUGCAAAACUCCUCAAACUCAUCAGAAAUAAAUUCACCACCAUUAUCAGUACGCAAAAUUUUCACCUUCCUUUCAGUUUGCUUUUCUACCAUAGCUUUUCACUUCUUAUAAGCACCAAAAACAUCAGACUUGUGUUUCAGAAAAUAAGGCCAAACUUUUCUUGAGUAAUCAUCAAUAAUGGUAAGCAUGUAAUUAGCACCACCAAUAGAAGUCUUACGGGACGGUCCCCAAACAUCAGCAUGCACAUAAUCUAAUAUGCCUUUGGUGGUAUGAAUGGAAGAAACGAAUUUAACCCUCUUGUGCUUACCAUAAACGCAGUGCUCACAAAACUCAAGCUUACUCAAGUUGCAGCCAUCAUGAGCUCUCUCUUGACCAACUCUGUCAUCCCAUGUUCACUCAUAUGCCCAAGACGCAUAUGCCACAUAUUCGUUUUUGCAUAAUCAUCAGAAUCAUUAGGUGUAACGGCAGCAGCAAAACCAGGCAAAGUGCUACCUCUAAGAACAUAUAAUUUUGCAGAAUUCAUAUCACCUAUCAUGUGAAUAAGAGAACCUCUAAAUACCUUUAAAAGUCUACGCCCACCGGCGUACUUGUACCCGUCACAGUCCAUGGUACUAAGUGAGAUCAAAUUUCUUGCCAUGCUUAGUGUGCUUCACCUCUUUCAACAUGCGUGUCAUGCCAUCAUGGGUCUUGAUCUGAACGGACCCAACGUCAACAAUAUGACAAGGAUUGUCAUUGCCCACACGCACAAAAUCUCCAGUCUGCACAAACUCAUAAGAACUGAACCAAUCCUUGUUACAACAAACAUGAAAGGAACAUGCUGUAUCAAGAAUCCAUUCAUCAUCACGGGAAGCACAAGCAGCAAGAACAGUGAGGCAUUCACCCUCAGAGCUGUCGGCCUUACCAUUACCAUCGGACUUGUCUUUCGGUUUGUAGGUACCGUUCCUUUUCUCCUUGUUCUGCAGUUUAUAACAAUCUUCAAUGAUAUGAUUAUUUUUCUUACAAUAUCUGCAAAACUUAUCUUUUCCUCGGGACUUUGAAUGAGCUUUUCCGUCCCGGCUCUUAUCUCGGUUGCCAUAGUUGUUAUUCCACUGCUCGGUCCUGCCACGAACCUGCAGAGCUUCUGCCUUUGACAACGACCCAUUGGUCUGCACCAUAGACUUCAUCUUUUCUUUCUGUCUAAGUGCUUCCAAAACCUCAUUAAGGGUUAGAGAGUCAUGGCUAUAAAGAAUUGAAUCGCGGAUAUUUGUAUAGGAACUAGGCAACGAGCAUAAGAGUAAGAUGGCUAAAUCCUCAUCAUCAUACUUAACCUCCAAAGCUUGCAAGUUAGAAACUAUCUCUCGAAAAGCAGUUAUAUGAGAUAUUACCGAACCACCUUCUUGCAGCUUAUGGGUGAACAGCUUCAUCUUUACAUGCAUCUUACUGGUUAGAUCUUUAGACAUGCAGAUCGAUUCCAGUUUCAGCCACAGGGCUGCUGCGGAUUUCUCCUCCAACACUUCCUGCAAAAUAUUAUUGGAUAGAUGAAGUUGAAUCAAAGACAAAGCCUUACGAUCUUUGCGUUUCUCUUCGGCAGUCCACUCCUUUUCAUCCUUCUUGCCGAAGGAAUCAAGCGCUUCAUCCAGAUCUGAAGUUUGGGCGAGAAUCGCCCGCAUCUUCACUUGCCACAACGAGAAUCGUGUGGUGUAAUCCAGCUGUGGCAGCCGAACUUCAAGGUCGACAUGUCGCAAACCCUAGGCGGAACCUGGGGCUCUGAUACCACUUGUUAUGAACGCGACAAGCAAGAACGAAGAACGAAGAAGAACUCACAGCACAAGGACACACGGAUUUAACGUGGAAAAUCCUCUCAAACAACGAGAGGGAAAAACCACGGGCGCCAGCCAGCGAAACUUCACUAUAUGGGGAGUGUUUACACAACGCCGGGGAGAUUCUACAAAAGCAACUCGUCCCCAAAACGGCGGCCACAAGGGGUAUAUAUAACAGGAAGAUUAGGUCAAAACAGAUCCGUAUCGGGGACCCCAAAAGUUCCGGGUUUGGGCCGGAAGUUCCGGGCUUGUUCCGGGACAAACUCCGCAGCCUUCACGCGAAGUUCCAGUAGCAUCACGGAGGUGAGACGGAGGUUAGGCGGAAGUUCCGCCCCACCGGAAGUUCCGGUCCUGGGAAACACCUCCUUGAGAAUUUGGAUCACAACUUCAACAAUUUGGAACUUUAUUCCGUGUAACCUUUUGAGGGAGCAUGGUCGUGACAUCUCUGCUCCUGUGGCUCAUAUGACCAUUGUUCGUGCGAAGUUUUGUUUUUCUUCUUACGGUGGCUUCUUCUCUUCGCCACUGGUCCAUUUCUCAAAAAUAUGUUGUACAACUAGAGGGCUUUUAAUGUUAUAUCUAGUGCAUUAAUGUUGUUUGUACAACCAGAGGUCUUUUAGUGUUAUAUAUCUAGCCCUUAACAUUUGCAUGAAAAAUUAUGGAGUGAUUAAAAUUUAGCUAAAAUAAUGUGUGACGGAGAGGUGACAUGUGGUACAAUAGAAGUACAGUACCUCUUAUGUUUGAGCGCUAGUGACUAUGUCUCAGUCAAGAGAAGGCUAGCAUUCUCUCUCUCUUUUUUCAUUUCUCUUUCUUCAAUAUCAGCUUUUAUCCAACCUGGUUUUGCUAACAAAUGAUUGAUGUUGCCCCAUUGUACUCCGACUAAAGCAAAUAUUCAGGCCAAUGAAUGUUCACGUCCACCUCUAGACCGGGUUCAAUCCCUCUCGACAGGUGAUACACAAGGCUUCUCAUGCAAAAGUUGUCAUGCCAAAACUGUUGUUGGCAUCAAUGAAAAGAUGCCCCUUUGUCACCACAGAAGGUGGAUCGAAAGGGGUGCGAGUGGAAGCGGGCUAGUAUGGAAAGUCUCCUGCUUCAAGUAUCUCUUUCCAGUGCUAUCUGGAUAGUGAGAUGUCGUCCGAUAUGGUAGAGGGACUGAUAACGAUGACAAUUCCAACGACAAGUUUGCGCGCACCCAGUGGAAAUACAAGAUCUCAGGCAAUGCCAACGUACCUGUGCCAUGCCUCUGUGAAGAUGGUGACUCGAAGAUCGAUUUUGGAGAUGAAAUCCCAAGGUCGACCUUUGAUUGGACGCAUUAUCAUCGGUGCACGUGCGACGAACCCUUCUUGAAUGUUUUGCCAAGAAGUUGUUUAAUUUUUGUUUGUUUCAGUCACUUUUUUAUAGGGUUUGUGGUAAGUUGUUGCCAGGCACAUUAAUUGCUUUGUUUUUUUUCUCCUUUUUGGACGACUUGUUUGACAUUUUGCCUGAAUUUGUCUGACACUUCCGAAUAAUUAAUAAUAUAUGAUUGUGAGUUGUGAUUGAUUGAGAUGAAAGUUUCCCCUCCGCAUGGACAGAUAUCUCUGGCCACUUGAGUGAUUGAUUGUCAAAAAUUCAUGGACAUGCUUAUGAUUAAAGAGUUAACCAUAUUUUGGGGGAUUCGGGUCGAAAAUUCAUGGCCAUGCUUAUGAUUAAAGAGUUAACCAUAUUUUGGGGGAUUCGGAUGUAAGCACUGAGAAAAAAGAAGUCAAGCUAGAAAUAAGGAUGACUACCUCACCUUGAGCUCGAAAAUAUCCGAGACAAAUGACUACAACAGUUUCUGAAAGUUGACCAAUACGAUCUAUGCAUAUAUUUGGGAAUCAAUAUGACCUGUUAGGUUCUGCUGUUGAUUAUUGAGCGAGAAAGUGUUUGUAGGCAUGAUCACACAGAUAUAUGAACCGGUUGGAUCGCACACUUACAAUUAUCUUUCUUUCUUUGUCAAAAUAGUACUCACCCACACGACAUAACAGGUCAACUUGUAAUAUUUGUUUUCCAAACAGAAUACUCCGCCAAGUAUAGUAGGCUGCCCGAGGAUAUUUUGCAUUCGAAAAUCUGCAUUAGGAUGCAUUCCUUUCAAUACACGAACACACAUGGCAUUCCCAAAAAAAAGGGAAGAGUACGUUGGCUACGAAGAGGGGUCCAAAACCCCAACCGCACUCACGGUUGGGACUUCGGAUGGCUGUGUGCAUGGGUCUCUUUGUCCAGAUUGCCCUGACCAACACCCUUACCUCUUUGUUUAGAUGUAUCAUAAAAACGGAGAUGCAUCAAAGUUACAAUAAAAGAAAAGGGAAAGAAGAAUAUACAAGAAAAAGAAAAGGAGAAAUGGAGAGAAAGAAGGAAGAGAUUCACCAUACAACUUGAGGUUCAAGAAAAAAGACUUGCACACAAGCAAGGCAAAACACCUAGCUAGGUGCAGACCAUCUAGGCCCCAUGGAUAUAUUGUCCAUAUCAACACGCUGGCCGGCAAGGUGAGGUAUCCUUUCCUUUCCUUGGUCUCCAUCUCGGCCAGACACAUAUGGUAUACCUUUCAUCUCACGUCCAGAUCUUCUACCUCUAUAUAUACCAUCAGUGUCUCGGAGCUGCCGAUCAUCUCGCAACGAUAGGAAGAGACAAGAGGCAGAAGCCAGAGAUGGAAGCAGCGACGCAUCGCUCUCGUGUCCUGGCGGAAGUCGACCCCCGCAGCGAAUGGGUUCGCGGGGACGAAUUCGACACGCUCAUCAUGGACGUCUCAGGUAUGCACGCAAUCAAGAUUCAAGAAAGCUCGCUGCUAAGACUGUAGCUAUGCUGCUUUCGAGGGGAACCAUAUUUUACUGUGCCUAGCUGGGAUUGUUCUGAACUCAUUCCAGUGAGACAUCAUACAGUUCCCACACACGUUCAGAAAUAUAAAGCUUAUUUUGAUGGGUAAAAAUAUCGGUUCUUUCCACACAGGUUGUAAUUGCCUAAAUGGGGUUUAUGAUUUCUAAGUACUCCCUUCGUCUCAUAAUUCUUGUCGCUGUUUUAGUAUUCCUUUCGAUAUAUAAAAAGUGACAUCCACUUAAUACAAUUUUGUACUCCUACUUACUAUAAAAUGGGCGACGCUCUUUUUUUUAAUCGGAUGGAGUAACUAAAACAACGAUAAGAAUUAUAGGACGGAGGGAGUAUCAUUGACUACUUUUUCGUUGGAGAGAAAGCUAAACCGGCAGAUUGACAUGCAUGUCGCUAAUGCAGGGUUCACCAAGGACCAGCUGAAGGUUCAGGUGGAGGCGUCGGGUAGCCUGAGGAUCAGCGGCGAGCGCACCCUGAACGGCAGCCGGCAGUGGAGCCACUUCCUCAAGCGCUUCGACCUCCCUGACGCCUGCGACGGCACGGCGAUCAAGGUGCAGCUCGCCAAGGGAGUCCUCUACGUCCAGGUGCCCCAUCCCAAUACCUCCACCACCACGGACGACGACGAAGACGACACAGAAGAGUACCUGGAGGACGAGCUGGAGGAAGAGGCUGGCGCCGUCUGGACCGGCGGUCACACGGCGGCGUGGCGAAAUGACGACGAGCACCCGGUGCGGAGGCUGGUUAAGGCCCUGAGCCAGCACCGGCACGUCGUCCUCAACGUAGUUCUCGCCGCCGUGCUCCUCUGGCUUGUCGCCUUCGGGAAGAGCAGGCCGAGCGGUGGGCAGAUCAAGAACGAAUGAGGCAUGCAACACCAGACGCACACAUAACAGUACAGUCCUACAGCAUACCAGAUGUAAUUCUCCAGAUGAUAAAACGGAAUAAGAUCCUUGUAAAUAACCAGGAUUGGGAUGGUUCGAAUCAAAGCCUCAACACACGUCAAUCAGCAUUCAAUUGUCUAACCAGUUCUUUUAAUAACCUUUUGGUAACCUGUUCUGAACCUACAUUUCGUUAGUUGCAGGAUGUCUCCACCGUAGAAAGACCAACUUAUGAAUUCAGAAAAGGCAGAAAAAACACACAGCUAAUGUAUCGUAUGAGAAUUCAUCAACUACGACUCUCUCUAUUUCCCCUAACAUGCAUUAUAUGGAUAUCGUCAAAGAUGUAUGGCGCUAUAACAGUCCCUCAAAAAAAAAAGUACGGCGCUAUCUGAUGGCUCCAAGCAGAUUUGCACCUCCGAGCUUAGCACCAGCUAAUUGCUGUUUAAGAAAGGAAUCCAAGGAUUAGAUUUUAGGAUGUAAAGAUAUACUAUUCUAACCUAAGAUCCCACUUUGUUGAAUCUGUGUAUCAAGUUCUUGCAUAAAAUAAAAAUGGGAGCCAAAAAUUCCACUGAAGCUGUGCGCUUUUGUCUCAGUGUUAAACUGCUCUUGUUUGCACAAUACAGGAAACAAGAAUAGAUGCCAUGUGUUCAUGAAAUCAUUGCUUACAUAUAGUUUAAAUUUCCUCUUGCCAGCAUACAUUUAUACGAGUGCAAUCAUAUAUAUCUAAUUAAUCAGCACUAGUUGUAUGCUUGUUUGUUUUUCGCAAAAACUAGUAGUAUGUGUGCCCACGACCCCAAUUGACAAAUCAAUGACCAGCCGUCUUAAGUCAGUCCACUUCUUAGUUAAUUUAGUAUACUUUUUGCUCUUCGGUCAGAUGUGAAUUAUCACAGCAACCUGAACCUGGAAAGUCCCUGGAUGCAUGUGCUCAUAAUUGUUCUUUGAUUUUCUUCUCUUAAUUUUGUGUGCAAGGUGGUUUGGUGAACCAGGUGUCAUCACAGAUGCGACAGGAAGUAAACAUGUGAUUUCUUUUGAUGAGCUUAUGAAGUAAUGGAUGAGUGUCUAUUUCUUAGCUAAGUUAUUAGCAGACUGGAUAAACAUACAGUUUCUCGCAAAUCGACUUCCCGCAGGUAAGCACGCUGAAGAUUUGCACCUUGCAAGUUUGAACCAGUCAACUUAGCCCCCUGCAAAGGAGUUAGUUUAUAAGGUCUGCAUUUAAAUGAGACUCUCCCUCUCCUGGGAAGGCAUGCUGCCGCAUAAAAUUUACCUUGAGAUUGGCUCCUUCAAGGUUAGCUCCUGUCAAGUUGGCAUCUGUAAGGUUUGCACUCUGAAAAUACAUGUCAGUUGGUUAUUAGUAUCCAUAGGAAAUUGAGAAUUGAACAGCAGCUUUUAGUUUUUAAUAAUAUAUGGGUUGCCACUAAAAACUAGUAAUUGCUCUGUUGAAUGACAUUAGGAGAGAAGGACAUACACUGCUAUGGAUAGAAAUUGAUUAGCAUGGAUCCAUAUGCAGGGAGCAACAAUAUAUAUUUAUUGAUUAGAUAAACUAUAAAAGAAAACAAAGAGAAUGGAUACGGAUUGCCCACGCUAAAUAUUUGUGGCUUCAUGCUUGUCAUCAUGGUUUCAUACUUUUCUAUACGGCACUACAAACAGCAGUGGCAGCAGUACACACAGAUUUCUUAGCAUUGAAGUUCACUGUGGUUGGGGAUAACACAAAUUUACAUACUGAAGUACUGAAGACAAAUUUCAAACCUGUAGGUGUGCUGAACGAAGAUCAGUUUCAAUGAAGCUACACCUUGUUAAGCAUGCAUCUGCAGAAUAGUUUGAACAGUCUAUCUCGAGUGCUGCUUCGCAUUUGCUCAUUAACUUUAUAAAAAUAAUUUUGAGAAAGGUACUUUGGAAUUCAAAGCCGGAGGGACCCUUAAAAACAGCCAAGGCAGGUUCACAUUUGACAUAGUAAAAUUGAAAACGGAAUCUCCGGUAAGAUAAUCUGUCAGGUUAUGCACCUUGUAGGUUUGCACUUUGAAGGAAGUAAAAUGCUUAACAAACAAAAAGGAUUAACAUCAUUAUGCAGCGUCUCCACAAGAAGGAAACAAUGAGGGAAACUGCCAGUUAGUCAGCAUGCAGGUUAAGAAUAAACUGUAAGGAAAAGGGAAAAGGUUAGGCACCUUGUAGAUUUGCACUUUGAAGGUUCGCUCUAUCCAAAAUAGAUUUGUCAAGAUUUGCUCCUACAAACUCACACCUACAAUCAAAUUCUGCAAUUACGAGCAGCAUCUCCCAGGACAAAAAUAAAGAAAAAGAGGUACAAAAGUACUAAGCCAAUUAACUAAGCACUUGUACCAAACCCAAACACCUCCACCACACUCAUCACUACCAAAAAAGGGAAUAAAAGAGAAGGACAAGAAAGAUUUGGAAGCUUCUUUGUAUUCUUACUCACGCAAAUUUGCAUAAUGGAAUGAAGAAUGAGAAGCUUCAACCUCCUGCGAAGAAUACAUAGGUGUUUUACUACAUGAGAUGUAGCAUUCCAGACAAGAACUUUACAUGAUAUCUCAAAGCAAAUUGAUAGAUAAUUCUGAAAACUGAAGUACUAUCACAAGGUCAAAGAACUAAAUGUAAAACAUACAGCAUAAAAUUGUUAAAUCUGAUAAGAGCUACUGAGAAUCACAGUACAAGAGCCAUACCCCAAAUUUAGCUUUGUGAAGGUUAGCAUGUGAAAAGUUUGUCUUCUCAAGACAGCCACAACUGAAGUCAACCUCUGAUAAGUCAUGUAGCAUAUCGGGAAAAGGUGCAUUUUUGUACAAGCUCAACUUUUUUUUUUUUUGAAAAAGAGGGGUUCCCCUCCGAUUUCUUCUAUUAGAAACCGCUGGUGUUACAGAGUUCAGUCAGCAUCCAAGGUUUUUAAGACGAGCAGCUAUGCUGCACAGGCUCAAACUGGCAAGGUAGAACAAAGGAAAACAACUAGGCUACAACCUCCAUGUGACAACAGGGUGACAAACCACCGUGUCUAAAUGCAGCAGCCCGUUCAAUCAACUUGUCGGGGGAAUGACCCCGGGUAGGGUCAUGACGACACAACUCUAGCCGAGAUAACGGAGACAAGGCCGGCAUAGUUACGUAUGCCGGCAUCACGGAGUACAACUAAUGCUAAGCCGGCACGCCGAGCGUAUGCCGGCAGGGAUAUCUUAUCUUAUGAGUUUGCAGGAUAAGGAUGAGCACGUUGGUCUCGGCAGCAACCGAGAUCCCUCAACGGUCUUAUCCUGAUCCCGCGGUACAAAGUAAAGCAGCGCCAUCAUCACUCCAGGAAAGCGGUCAGCGCCUGCAUGCCGGUGUCAGGUGACCACACUAAAGAGGCACCGAAAGGGAAUCUAUGACGGAAGCCGACAGAAGAUAGCUGUACCCGCUACCGGUUGGCAGGAAAAGUAAAGUGGCCUUGUCCCCCGCGGCGCUGCCUGGAGGGAACCAAGCCGCGUGCCCGGUGAAGCCCAAAGAUGGUGACGUUAGACUCGGCCCACAUGGCAGUGUACCAUGUGCAGCCUAUAAAUAGAACCUUACCUCCCUUUAGGAAAAAGGGGAGAAGGAGAGAGAGCAUUUUAGGGUUUUUCCCCUUUCUUCUUCUUCCUCAAGAAUACAGCUCAAGGAGCACCAUUGUAGAGCUUGCCUAUCUCGGCUAAUACAACAAAGCAGGAGUAGGAGUCUUACCUCGACAAGAGGGCUCCGAACCAGGGUAAAUCGGUGUGUUCCCGUGUGAAUUGUGCGUGUUCUUCUUCACGUCCUCCCUCCUCCGGUUCCUCCAUCGUCCAUCGGCCCCAAGUUAAGCCAUCUUAUGGCAUCUGCCGUGACACCACCACGACACAACUCCUUCCUUCAGAGAAACCAUCAACAAAAGCACAGCACAUUCUGGAAGACAGAUAACAUGUAGCCAUCGCAGCAAAGUUCAGACUUCUAACCGUCGCCGGAGAGGAUGCCAUCCCCUUGACGCCUCGAACACUUCCAUGGCAACUUGCUCAACCAGUCUUGUCCCCCAUUGCAGCAGCCUUCGGUUUGCCUCCUUUACCUGCAGCACAGACCACCGGUUCAGCCAAUAACAUAAGCGUUUUACCACUCCAAACGGAGAAGUUAUCUGUACUUUACGAAAACAAACAUCGUUUCUGGUGUUCCAUAUGACCCAAAGCAGGCCUGCAACUCCAACCAUUACCAACUUCUUCGUGUUCCCAUGAAAACUCAAUAACCAUGUCUCCCACAAUGUGGAAACAGUAGCUGGCAAAUCAGGUAGAUCAAAAGCACAUCGUACCACCCCCCACAAGAAGUGAGCCAGUGGACAGUGCAGAAACAAAUGAUCAAUAGAUUCGUGUUGAUCACAGAAGUGGCAUUGAGUAUUCCCCUUCCACCCUCUGUGUUGCAGCACAUCCUUAGUAAGAAUGCUCCCAUGAGCAAUCAACCAAAGGAAGAUCUUUAUUUUCAAAGGUAUCUUGAUCUUCCACAGAAAUUUCUGAGGGAAAUCUAUGCUCUGCCACAUCAGCUCUCUGUAGAAAGAACUCACAGAGAACACCCCAUUUGGUGUCAAUCGCCACCAAGCUUUAUCUUCAGCCUUAGUGAGCUUUACCCUAUUACAGAAAUUCAGAAUUUGCUGCCAAUCCAGAAACAUAUCCCCCCACAGUGUGCGCCUAAAACAGACUCCCCUCCCCUGCUUUGAAACCACACUAGCAACCGAAACAUUUUUGCUAAAACAAACUUCAUAAAGGACUGGAAAUUGUAAUUUUACAGGUUUGUCGCCAACCCACCAAUCUUCCCAGAAUCUAACUUUUUCCCCAUUACCAAUAAAAAACUUGCACAAGGACAGAAAUUUAUCUUUGAUGUGUAACAAACCACUCCAAAACAUCGAAUCCCCUGCUCUAUGCUUAACACUCCCAAGACACUUGUCACCAAUGUAUCUAGCUUGUAGCAAACGUUGCCACAAACCAGUAUCAUUAAAAAGUUUCCAAACCCAUUUUCCCAGCAGUGCCUGGUUCAUAGUAUCCAAAUCUAAAAUACCCAAACCCCCCUGUUCUUUGAGCAAACACACUUUUUUCCAGGCAACCAGAUGAUAUUUCUUGAUCCCCUCCUCUUCCUGCCAAAGCAUCCUAGCACGAUAGAAGUCAAUUCUCUUACGAACCCCAACAGGAAGCUCGUAGAAAGACAUCAUAUAGAGAGGGAUGCUACUAAGACAUGAGUUAAUAAGGACAUUUCUUCCCCCCACAGAUAAAAUUCUCCCCUGCCAACAACUUAAUCUAUUCUCCACUUUGUUCUCAGUAUUUUUUCCAAUGUUUGUUUCUAAUUCGAACAGCAUCCACUGGGAUACCCAGAUAGGUCAGUGGAAGCUCCCCUUUGCAAGUAAAAAUAUCACAAAAAGUAUGUGAAUUGGUAACAGCCUCUCCAAAACAAUACAAGUCACUCUUGUGAAAGUUAAUUUUCAACCCUGACAUUUGUUCAAAAGCACAUAGAAUGAAUUUGAGAUUCUUUGCACUAUCAAUAUCAUUGGGGAGCAUAAAUAUAGUAUCAUCAGCGUACUUAAGUAUGUUUAUCCCCCCAUCAACUAAUUCAGGAAUAACACCUCGAACUAAUCCAGCUUUUUUUGCAUUGCCCAGCAAGAUAGCCAGGGCAUCUGCAGCGAGAUCAAAGAGCAAGGGAGACAUAGGAUCCCCUUGUCUAAGGCCAGUAAAAGUAGGGAAAUAGGGACCAAAAGAAUCAUUUACUCUAAUGCUCACCUUCCCUCCUCUCAUUAUGUACAUCAUCCAAUCACACCACUUAUCAGGAUAUCCUUUGAGUUUCAGCAUUUGAUACACAAAGGGCCAUUUAAUUUUAUCAUAUGCUUUUUCAAAAUCUACCUUAAAUAAAAUGGCAGAUUUCUUUUUUUUAUGGAUAAAGUUGAGAGCCUCAUGAAGAAUCAUAACUCCUUCCAUAAUGUACCUCCCUUUGAGGAAUGCUGUCUGAGUUUCAGAAACUACAGUACCAACAGUAGGGGUCAUUCUAUUCAUCAACACUUUAGUGAUUAUUUUGAAGCUUACAUUCAAAAGGCAUAUAGGUCUAAACUUCUGAAUUUGCUUAGCAUCUUUACAUUUAGGAACUAAAGUGAUGAUCCCAUAAUUUAGUCUGUCAAUCUGCAGCUUCCCAUUAUAGAAGUCUGUCAGAAGACCAAAUAGAUCAUUUUUGACAAUAUCCCAAUAAACUUGAUAGAAUUCCACUGGAAAACCAUCAGGUCCAGGGGAUUUAUUUUUUUCCAUCUGAAAAACAGCAAUUUUUAACUCCCCCAUGGAAAAAGGAGUAACCAGCUCAGCUGCAUGGUCCUCCUUUAAUUUCAUCCCAUCAGUAAUGUCUAGAGUCAUCUCAGUGUUACUAGAAUGGCCAAAUAAUUUUUUGUAAAAAUCAGUAAUGUACUUCAUCAGCUGAUCUUCCCCUUCAAUCAAUCCCUCCUCUUGUUCCAGAGAAAGAAUUAUAUUCUUCCUCCUUUUGCCAUUGGCUUUAGCAUGAAAAAAAAAUUGUAUUACUGUCCCCCUCUAGUAUUUCUUUUUCUUUAGAUCUUUGCUGCCAUUUUAGUUCCUCCUGUCUCAGCAGCCUACCAUGUUGAAGUUCUAAAGCUUUCUUCUCCUCUCUUUGAGCUAAGGAUAAACAGGCCGAUUCUGCAAUAAUGUCUAAUUCAGCAAUUUUUGCAGAUAAUUCCUUUUUAAGUUUUUUAUACAGGGCAUCUACAUUUCUGUUCCACCCCUUCAGCUUUUUCCUCAAAUUUCGCAAGAUCCACUGCCAUCUAUCUAAAUUGUCCAGGUGAACAGGGGCAGAAGUCCAGAUUUUUUCAAUUAUUUCCUUAACUCCCUCCCUCUCAAACCAACUAGAUUCAAAACGAAAAAUGGGAUCUUUCUUGAGAGCAACCCCUGAGUCAAUCAGGAGAGGUACAUGGUCAGAAAGAACCCUAUCCAUAGCAGAGACAAUAGAAAGAGGAAAUAGGUCCUCCCAGUCAGUGCUCGUUAAAAUCCUAUCCAACUUUUCAAAAGUUGGGUCCAAGUGAUCAUUGGGCCAUCUAUAUUGUCUCCCAUUUAAAGCCAAUUCCCUAAGGCCAGCUUGUUCAAUUAUAGCAUUAAACAAAAAACUCCAUCUAUUAUAUCCUCCAGAUUUAUUUUUUUCAUCUUCUUUUCUGAUAAUAUUAAAAUCCCCUCCCAACAGGAAAGGGUAUUGACUAUCCUGACAAACCUGAGAUAGUUCAGUCAGAAAGUCUUCUUUAUGCUCAACCUGAGCAGCUCCAUAAACCACCACUAAAUUCCAUCUAGAAUCAUUUGUUUUGUCAUAUAAAAGCAAUCUAACAAAAUGGUCUCCAUUUUGUUGUUCAACAAUAUCAAAAAUAGAAUCUCUAAUCCCUACAAGUAUACCACCAGAUCUGCCCUUAGAUGGAGACCAUUUCCAUGAAAAUUGGCCACCACCACCCAAGUUGGAUAACUCUGCAUUAGAUACAAGCUCAACUGCAAGUUGCCUGGAGGUAUUUAACCACACAAGGGACAUAAAACUAGCCACUGUGAGCUUACAAGCUUAGACAGGUUAAGGCCGGAGAGAUUCACGCCGCGGAAUCUGACUUUCUCAGUCUGAAUGCACUUGAUCACAUCCUUCCGAGUUAGUUCGGCGCCCAACGAUUCCUCCACCUUCUCCUCCGCGAUCCGCUCUUUGAUGUAAUCGAUCAACCCCUAAAAUACCAACUCAAUGUCAGAUGGUUGGACAGUCUAUAAACUCCUAGGACAGGAGAGCAUGACGCAAGGCCCAUCCAUACGUGCAUCCGGUAGUACUCCGCCUCCCGAAGCAGCCGCUGGUACUCAUUCGCCGCGAGCAUGGGGACGGCACCGUCCCUGAGCCAGUUGAGCACGUGCCGGAACUGCUUCCCGUCACGGUCCACAAACGCCGCCCCGUCCUGCAAACGCCACACGAUUGGUUCAUGAGACGCGGGCCGCGGGCAAGGCAGGCGGAAACAAGACACAAGCGAGAGAUGUGAUGAAAUACGUUGGAGGGGAGACGGCGCGUUCCGCCGGCGAAGAUGGCGGCGAGGAGCGAGCCGGGCUCCCGCUGCGUGAGCGUGUCCACCGUGGCUGCGUACUCGCUGCCCCCUGCACCGCGCAAUCACAUCGCACAAAAUCGGCAAGCGUGAGGUGAGCCCGUGAUCGCGACCAUUCGCCAUUAGAAGAGCGGGGAGGAGUCCAUCGAAUUUUGGAACCGAAUCGAAUGGAAUCGAAUGGAGGAUAAAAUUAGUACGAAGCAUUGGGAGGGAAGCGGACUGACCGAUGUUGAGAAGGACCGGUUGCUGCAUCGCGGCGCGUGGGCUCCGCAUCUCGGCCUUUUCCGGCUUUCUUCUCGGCGAGGCGAGGGGGGGAAGAGGAGGCGCCUCCUGUGCCGCGCGGUGUGGUGGACUCGGCCCCUCCGCGCCCGAGCCGGCCAAGCAUAACCCUUGGAUGGGGGGGGACUGGGGACGCGCAAAGCCCAACUUCGAAAUCCUCCACAGCCGCUUCGAUUUAAGAGAUUUUCGAGAUUUUUUUUGUGAAUUUGGGACUAUUUUUGGUGAAUUUUUUACAUCUGACUUUUUUUAUGGAUUUUUUACGUCUAACUUUGAUCGGAGUUUCUCCAAAGGAAUCCUUCUGCGCGGUUCCAUACAAAAUUUAUAUUAACUCAAAGCUCUUCCGUCAGGCCUCCGGUUACUCUAAAAAAAAAACUCAAAGCUCUUGGGAAUGCUUCUUUGUUUUAUCUAUACAACUAAAUAAACUUUAUUCAAAUCGAAUGACAUACCAGUAGAAGCCAAGUGGGCAUGAUAUUCCGGUCUUGUAUUUCUUUUUCACGUGUUUCGGCUUUCCAGGAUCUUUUGUAAAGCAUGAUUCUUAAAAAUGCGGGAGUAAGAAAAACAAGAUAAUCAAUCCUGAAAUUCCAGACAUGGCUUCUGUGUGCUCCUUGAGGAAUUUUGCAAUAAUUUAAACAAAGUAGAUGCAUAAUGCACACACAAAAAAAUACUGAAAAUAUACAAACAUGAACUUGUUCUCCGCUAGAACCUUGCAUUAGAUCUCCUUCACCUGACAUUUCCCACCAUGAUUCCUAGUGCAUCCUGGUUCACCGGUUUCUCCGAGAAUAACUUCUCGAUCCCCUGCGGCAGACUGUCACUUCCUUACUCCCGAACAAUUUUCCAACUUUUAUGCCCUUCUUCUCCGCCUCCGACAGCUUCAACUUCCUUCAGCCGUCAUCAAGUCGCAUGAUAUCUUGUCGAGCACCAAGAAUGAAUCGUGGUUUUAAUGAGAUGUAUUACGAUCAUGUAAUCACCGAGAAAUUAGCAAAGUGAAGAUUAGAAUUUGCAUUGUUGCUAUCCUGCUGUUAGAGGCUAACGUCAAGGUGCAUAACUCAAAUGCACUAAGAGCAUGUGCAAUGCAAGAUGCUAAGACAGGUGCUUACGAAAAUAAACCAAACAUUUUUUUAAGCACCAGUGCUUAUUUGUAUAGAGGAGGUGUCAAGUUAGGCAUCUGCUUAGUCUAAAUAAGCAUCAGUGCUUAACAAAAACCGGUUAAUUUUUCUAAGCACCCACCUAGACAUCUUGCAUUGUACAUGCUCUAAGAAAACAAAAGUGGACAUGCUCUAAGCACUACCCCUCAACGGAGGGACCGUAAGUCGUAACCACGAUCACAAAGGACCCAACCUUGAGCUCCAGGAAAACACUAGCGUCGAGGAAUGCGUUCUUGGCCUAAUUAGGUGGUUAAACUUUUUCUAAGUUUUUUUUCCUGAAACAUUUUUUAAAUACAGUACUCUUGGCUCCAGGGAAACAUUUUUUAAACACUCUUCGGUAAAAGUUUUGACCUGAAGUUCUUUUAAGCUAAAUAAAAAGAUUGAUACAGCAUACUCCCUCCGUUCCAUAAUUCUUGUCGAAAUAUUACAUGUAUCUAAACGCUUUUUAGAAAUAAAUACAUUUAUUUUUAAAUAAGUUUAAGACGAGAAUUAUGAAACAGAGCUGCAGUAGUGCUGACCGGGACGGACGGACGGUGAAACAGAGCGUUCACACACAUGAACCGAAACCCACGGAUCGGUUCGAGUCGAAGCCCUGGUUCGGGUUCAAGAUCCCUGCGGUGCCAGUUCUCUCGGGCAGAAAACCCCAAUCCCCCCAAAGCCCCAGUUCCGCCCCACCAUGGAUUCCAUCGGCGCCGACGAGAAGCGCAAGGGCAAGGCCCCUCUCCUGCAGGCGGACGACGUGGCUUCCGCGGCGGCGGCAAAGGCGGCGCCGGAGGAGGAGGAGGAGGCGGUGUCGAUGGCCGAAGCGAAGCGCUCGUCGUCUUCGGAGGUGAAGGAGCGGGAGGAGAAGCCGAUGCUGGUGCUGCUGGCGCAGGACGGCGUGGAAGUGCGUAUCUCGGAGCCGGCGGCGAGGAUGUCGCAGAUGCUCCGCCACAUGAUCGAGGACUGCUGCGCUGGCUACCGCAUCCCCACCCCCGACGUCUACUCCGACGUGCUCGAGAGGGUCGUCCAUUACUGCGAGAAGCACGGGCCGUACUACGAUCCUCAGGCCUCAGAGCGCGACCGGCACCCCUUCCCGCCCUUCCCCGUCGAGCUCACCCCUGCCGUCUCGUCCAUCAAGCCCGUCACGGCCUCAAGGCCUGGGACAAGGAGUUCAUCAACCUCGACAACUCCACCAUCUUCGAGAUCACGCUGGUAAAGAAACCAAACACCAUUUCCCUACUUUCUUGCUUUAUCUUCUACGCCAAGUAAGAACAUCUGAACAUGGCAUGGAUUUGUAUGUCUGGUAUGUGAACAUGAGGGAUAUUAUGCGCAAUUAGGGGUGAUUUCAUAAGUUCAAUUGGGUUGGCUCGCUGAUCGAUCGCCCUCCUGCUUCCUUAUACGUUGUCUUUAUGGCUCCCUGCAACGGUUUCCCAGCCAUAAGUUCAAUUGGGUUGGCCGUCAUUGUAAUUCCAUAGAUCAUGAUUUAGCCCAGUAUGCUAGGGAGGUGGGAGUAGAUGGCAUUCGUACUGGUUCUUUGCCACGACCAGUGCAGACAGGGCAUGUACAAGCAUGUAACCUGGUUAAUUUGCUUAAUAUAUGAAUGCCUUUUUCCCGUAAAAAAAUUAGGGGUGAUUUGGUGUGGUGGGGUUUGUGCAGGCAGCAAACUACCUGAACAUCCAGGACCUGCUGGACCUGUGCACCACAACGCUGGCGGACAAGAUGAGAGGGAAGACUCCGGAGGAGAUCCGCGAAAUCUUUGAGAUUGAGAACGACUACACACCACCGCAAGAGGCUGAAGUCAGGAGGGAGAACUCAUGGGCCUUCGAGGACUAACAGAUGCUUGCUAUUCUAGGUUGCAAAUACAAAUCAUUACCUUCAGGUCGGUUCAACGAGUCAACAUUGAGUAGGCAGUUCCGUCAAAAAAAACAUUGAGUAGGCAGAUAGAUAGACCCAUGAGUUGGUGAAGACAUUGUUGUGUACCACAAAGUUUUGGUGCAAAUUAUGGAUGCUUGGGUGGGUGAUUUUAAAGUGGUUGAAUUUGGAAGAACUUUAGUUGCAACUUGUGUUCAGUAAGUUGUUCGUACCAAUUUCACAUUUUUUUCAGUCAAGUUUUUUUGCUAGUUCAUAUACUGGAGAACUUAGCAUGCUAAUUGCAACAUAUUUGUUCGGAUGCAUUAUAAACAGUUGUAUUCGCAUGCUUGCCUUUACCUGCCUAUCUGCUGUGUAGUGAGAAUAUGUGAUGUUGUUGGGUCCUUCAUCAGUGUUGGCACAAUUGCGUAAAAGAUGGAUGUUUAUUCCUGUCUGUUUGCUCUGAAUAGAAAACUAGAAAAUUCUCACCUUCAAGUUGAUAGAUGAGUCGGAGAAAACUGCAGAUGGUACGAAUUACGCUUGUUCUGUAUACGGCAUGUUUUCAUGUAAAUGCGGAUGGGUGUCUCCCGUGUUCUUGAAAUGGUUUUAUCACCAGACUUUUAUUGAUAAAGCUAAUUGCACAUUUGCUUUCAGUUACUCCCAUUUGUAAUUUGUAAAUACUUGUCAGUUUUGAGCAAACCAUUAUGACAGGAAAUUGUGUUGCCAAUUAUCACCAGACUUAGCAUGCUAAUUGCAAAUUUGUUGUUGGGUUGCAUUUUAGUAGUUGUGUUUGCGUGCUUUCCUUUUCCUGCCGCUUUGUAGUGAGAAUCUGUGAUGCUGUUGGGUGCUUCAUCAGCGUUUGACACAAUCGUGUAAAGGAUGGAUGUUUAUUCCUGUUUGUGUCCUUUGUUCUGAAUACAAAACUGGAAAUUCUCAUUUUUCAAGUUGACAGACAAGUCGGAGAAAACUGAAACGUGGAUGGGUGCCCCCCGUUUCUUAAAAUGGGUUUUAUCACCAGAAUUUGAUUGAUAAAGCUAAUUGCACGUUUGCUUUCAGUUACUCCCAUAAACCAUUGUGACAGGACAUUGUGUUUUGGACAAAACUGGAUUGAAAGGACAUUGCUAGUAUAUGAACCAACUGGAUGGUAAUAGGUACAAGUGUCAAGUAUCCGUGACCAAACUGGAUUUGGUGUUUGUUUAAUGUAGUGUUGGUAUUUUUGAACUUGGCUCGGUUCUAUCUAGUUCAUGCCAUCAUGUAUAGGAUUUGCAUAGAAGUGUACAAUUUGCUUCUAUUGCUUGGGCGCGAGCUGCCUAUAUAACCUUGGAAGAUGCAUGUGAAAUAAUGCAGGUGACAGCAGGUAACAUUUUUCCUUUCUGAAAACUUUUUAGUGGUAUAUGGUAUUACACGUUACUGUAAAUUUAUUUGUGCCAUGCACAGAGAAGUGAAAACUAAAGCUAGUAGUUGCGGCGCAAUCCCGGGAAAGCAAAUCGAUUUAGGGCCAGUUCGGUUAUGCCAUUCCCGGUGGGGAUUGACAGGGAAUGAACAAAUUUCAGCUCAAUUUCCCUUUGAUCCCCCUCAAUCCCUUAGUGGGGGCAAUUUGACGCCUCAAGCAUUCUGUGUCAUGGACUAGCACGAUUGUGAGUCAACUGAAGCAUGUUCAUUAGCUUGCUGAGCCAUGUCAGAGCAGAGCAAUAAAAAAAGCGACCAAACAUGAAGAGCUGCAGUUUGCAGGGGAAGAAGAAGAAGAUAACAAGAACUCUAGGCAAUCAGAUAGACCAUGGCGCUGCAGCUGCAAGGCACACACAGGCGUUCACAUGAACCAUGAUGACCGCAGGACCAGGGCCGGCGUGCGCUUCUCCCCCUCCAUGACGUACACGAGGCCUGGCUGCAGCUUGCCGCCCCUGCCGAGGUUGAAGCUGAGGAACCCUUCGAGGUGCGGGCGGUGCUCUUCCCCAUCUGCCGUGCCGCCCAUUCUCACGCCCCACCCGAGCUCGUGCUCCGGGGUGUUGGACAGGCUGCAGCCCCAGCGCACCGGGACAUGGCCGGAUCGCCGUUCGAUCUCAACCCACCCUUGUGCUCUCAUGGCUUCGAAGAGUUCACAGUCCACCAUCGCCGCGACCGACUGUACAGACUGGGUCUCCGGUCCGCGUGGUGCAGGAUCAGUCUGCGCCAUCAUAGCCACGGGAGCAAUUAGAGAAGGAAUGCCGGGUCCUUGUACCAUUAUGCUUGAUCCCUGAUGAGUCGUCGUAGAAGCAUUUCUCUGCGGUUUUAGGCUGCCAAGGGGAACGGCAAGCGUCCCGAGGUUGUUGAACCGGGAUGACAGCGGGCAGAUCUGCCAUAGCCCCGACAAGCUGAGCUUGACAUCUUCCGCCGGUUCGUAGCACAGCUGCCCAAACGUUGUCAUUCGGUUGGCCACCCCAUGGUCGCCGUCCUGUGCUCCUGAACCGAAGACAAGCUCAGCCAGCGACGCGGUGAACUUGGAUCCCCUGAUGCUCAAAGCGGCGGCACAGUUGUGUUGUUCAGAGAAGGAAGGCGGCCCGUCGAGAGAGGCCUGGCUUGGCAGAUUCUGCCAAGAAAAUCUCAUCAGAAAAAAGCUCAUCCAACUCCGCUAGGCUCCAACGGAUGCGAUGGUCUCUGGCGAAGUCACGGAACACACGUUACCUGGAUCAAGCUCAAGCCGUGCAAAAAGCCGUUGCACUGAGCUCCGAACGGAACCAGGAUCAUGGAGAGCCAGUCGUUGACGUGGGCGCAGUACUGCAGCCUGGUCAGCUCCAGGGGCCUCCCGUCGUCCUCCUCCGCCUCGAGGCUCAUCACCCCUGUCCCGCGCCUGGUGGAGAACUCUGCCGCGAUGGUGUCCUUGCCCCUGGUCUUGGACUCGAGGACGAACCUGGAGCUGAGGCCCGUCCUGUUCCCGGCCACGCCGAGGAUCUGCCUCGCGUGGUUGAACUCGUCGCCGUCGACGAGGAACAGCGCCCCGACAGCUUCCAGCACCACCUUGGCCCGGACGGGGAGGUCCGGGAAGUGGAACCCCAUGCCGUUCUUGUACAUGGACACGAUGCGGUCGAUCUGCUCGUGCCUGUCCAUGAGCCUCAUCACGUCCGGGAACGUCUCCCGCUGCAGCCGCUUCAUGAUGUCACCCUACAUACAGCCAGAGCGAGGACAGUUUUAUUUGACGAUGCCGGUCUACGAUAAGGUGUGCAAGGAAAGGCUUACAGGGCUGUGGUGCUGCUGCGAGUGCGGCAGCGGUGGCCGAGGAGGAGACGCGUGGCCGGAGCUGCCCCGGAAAGCGCCACGGAGGAAGGCCUCGCCGGACCGGAGCAGGCCCAGGACGCCGUCGACGACCGUGCAGCUCGGAAUGGGCCUGGGCUCCGGCGGCACCGGUAGUACCGCGUGCGUCGGCUCCGGUGGCGGUGGCGGCUGCAGAAGGAGCGGAGGCGGCGGCCGGGCGCGGUCGGUGGAGGCCAUGCCGCUCGCCUGCCGCUGACGCUGACGCUUCCUGAGGGCCACGUCACAGGUGGAUAUCCGCUCGAAGAAACCAAGUGGCGGCGCGUCAGGCUCCUGCUGCGGCGCCAUCUUGGUCCGCGCAGUUCGCGCACAAGAAGGCAGCCUCUGCUCUGCUCGGGGGGACAGAGCGUCGCUUAGAUCGAUCGUUUCGCGCCCUUUUUCUUUCCUUCACGGCGCCUUAUUCCUGUUCACCUUUCCCUUUUGUUGCUUUAGCUUUCGCUUUUCCUUUUUUUU